AGUUAACGUAGCAAAGCCAGGCCUUGCUAAAGAUCUAAGCCCUUUUAACAGAGGUUCAAAUCCUCUCGUUAACU
rnacentral:tRNA from 1 species